GGAAAUUAGAAGAUCUUAAUGUUGAAAUGGUCACACUUGAACAAGAUCUUAGCAUUCUCAAAUAUCCAUCCAAUGCCUUUGAGCUUUUCCUUUGCUAGAUAGUGCACAUACAUUGUUAGAUGCAAAUGAGCUGAAGAAGCGACUUGAAUAAGGCAAAAUAGUAGGGUGGAGUUAAGAAUAAUCUUAGGACUUCUUUGGUUGUGAUCAUAUAAGUCAUUAAGAAGGAAGUCAAUUAUGGAAGGUGC